rnacentral:rRNA from 1 species
CGUGUAGGCGGUCGGUCAAGUCUGAUGUGAAAGCCCGGGGCUCAGCUCCGGAAGUGCAUUGGAAACUAGCCGACUGGAGCGCGAUAGAGGAGGGUGGAAUUCCUGGUGUAGCGGUGAAAUGCGUAGAUAUCAGGAGGAACACCGGCGGCGAAGGCGGCCCUCUGGAUCGUUGCUGACGCUGAGACGCGACAGCGUGGGGAGCAAACAGGAUUAGAUACCCUGGUAGUCCACGCCGUAAACUAUGGGUACUAGGUGUUCGGGGUGUUGACCCCCUGAGUGCCGCAGCUAACGCAUUAAGUACCCCGCCUGGGGACUACGGCCGCAAGGUUAAA